GUCUUAGUAGUUUACAUAAAACAUUGGUCUUGUAAAUCAAAAAUAAAAAUUUUUUUUCUAAGACU
rnacentral:tRNA from 1 species